CAAAGUUACAGCUGGGGAAGAUCAGUCACAGAGAGAAAAGAAAUGCAGAGCCAGACAACAAAUACAGGGAACUAAAGAGAAGAAAUUCUCGCUGGGAAUGCCUCAGCGGCGCUUCUGGAACUGUCUGCAUCUAAUUCCCAGACUCAGAGGACCCUUGUGUGUAUGUGAACCAUGAAAACGAUGAAGGAGAAGUAACAUAAAC